GGGCAAAUAUCUCAGCCGGUUAGAGCGCUACGUUGACAUCGUGGAGGCCGGAGGUCCAAGUUUUCUUUUGCCCA
rnacentral:tRNA from 1 species